GGGGAAUAUUGGACAAUGGGCGCAAGCCUGAUCCAGCCAUGCCGCGUGAGUGAUGAAGGCCUUAGGGUUGUAAAGCUCUUUCAGCGGGGAAGAUAAUGACGGUACCCGCAGAAGAAGCCCCGGCUAACUUCGUGCCAGCAGCCGCGGUAAUACGAAGGGGGCUAGCGUUGUUCGGAAUUACUGGGCGUAAAGGGCGCGUAGGCGGACUGUUAAGUCAGGGGUGAAAUCCCGGGGCUCAACCCCGGAACUGCCUUUGAUACUGGCGGUCUUGAGUUCGGGAGAGGUGAGUGGAAUUCCGAGUGUAGAGGUGAAAUUCGUAGAUAUUCGGAGGAACACCAGUGGCGAAGGCGGCUCACUGGCCCGAUACUGACGCUGAGGCGCGAAAGCGUGGGGAGCAAAC
rnacentral:rRNA from 1 species